rnacentral:lncRNA from 1 species
GCAUAACAUGUGAUUUUAUAAUGUAUUAUCUAUUACAAUGUUUUGAUGUAUUAUUUGGUACUGUUAUCUUUUCUGUUUGCUGUAAACCAUCUUGGUCAUAUUUUCUUUUUGGAAAGGUGGUAUACAAAUAAAAUGGAAAUGAAGCGUAAUAUAUUUAUAUGAAAGUGAAAUUAAUAAUUGAAAUAUAAUAGCUUUACCUUUCCUUUCAUCUAUAACUCACCACCUUUUCUUUUCUUGUCAGCCUCUUAUGGACCAAAUGAAACAAGUUAAGGACUUUCUCAAGAACUCUACCUUUGUUAUAAUUCAGGAAGGAAGUAUUGGGAUGAAAUAUAAAACUUGGGCAAAAGUGCAGAAAAUAACUGAACCACUUGUGAGAAGAUUGCGUGAAGAUACCCAACAAAUUGGAUGA